rnacentral:rRNA from 1 species
UACAGAGGCCACGAGCGUUAGGCGGAAUCACUGGGCUUAAAGCGUGUGUAGGUGGAUGGGUAAGUACCUUGUGAAAUCCCACGACUCAAUCGUGGAACUGCUUGGUAUACUGCCUGUCUUGAGGCACUCAGGGGCGAGCGGAACAGAUGGUGGAGCGGUGAAAUGCGUAGAUAUCAUCUGGAACGCCAAUGGUGAGGACAGCUCGCUGGGGGUGUACUGACACUGAGACACGAAAGCCAGGGGAGCAAACGGG